rnacentral:snRNA from 1 species
AUACCUUUCUCGGCCUUUUGCCUAAGAUCAAGUGUAGUAUCUGUUCUUAUCAGUUUAAUAUCUGAUAUGUGGGCCAUCGGCUCACACGAUAUUAACUCUUUUAAGGGAGAAGGCCCGUUAAGGUAGCUUGCUAUCUGGGCCUUCGCGAGUCGCCCAUGCGUUGCACUACUGCUCGGGACUGGCUCAAUCCGG